rnacentral:misc_RNA from 1 species
UGGAACUGGAAUCAGGAUUAGGGCUCGGAGUCCUCAAAAUGUACCAAAUCUCUGGAACUCUGCCACGCAGGGCCUUGCAACAAGAAGAUUACGUCUGCAAUGUAAAUUACAGGAGUUGAAAGCCAUGGAAAAGGAUACUUUUGUAGGUGGUUGUAGUUGUAGUACCAAGGAUGAACAUGAACACAAGACACGUUCCCUUUCUGAAAGCAAUGAAGUCGGAGUCUCUGAAGAACUAAUGCGUUACCAAGGACCCAAUGUGAGUCUGAGGAGCCAUACUUCAAUGCACCAAAAGGUUCCAUCCAUGUUAAAGGCCUCUUCUGCCCAUUGCUCUAUUUGGUCAAUUGCUGUGUUUGGAGUAGUUGUCUUGGUAAUUUUGCCACUGAUCUCAGUGAGCAAAUGGCGUUGCCUUAUUUUUGAAACU